AGGAAGAAUGGAAACGGCGGCGGCGACCGUAGCCCGGCCACCGGAGUGCGGCUCCACCGGCGGACUGCUCAGUGGUAACGUCAGUUUCCCAACCACUCUUAUCCUCUGUUCUGCUGCUCAAGCAACACGCUGCACACCAUGGUUCUCCGUGUUAGAGCAUCACAGUCACUGCAUACAAGGACCAACAUGCCAUAGUAUAGUAGUUUAAACUGAUAAACUGAAUGCGCACUAGAUUGUGACUGGUUUGGUUAGAGUUUUUUUUAAAAAAAAAAAUCGGCAUCUUGAACAAGUCAUCUCUAGUCUGCUUAAACAAACUGUCCAUACUUGUAACUAAACUGCACUGCUGAAAGUCUAGGGACGACUUCUGAGGGAUAUUGCAGUUUUAUUCUAGCAAGACCCGGCCACAAAUUCAUCAGAUAAUAUCUUUGGAAUUUGACUGAUUGUGUGCACAAGCACAAGCCUUUUGACCAGGACUUGGCAAGAGAAAGAAAUUCAGUCUCGUCCUGCAGUUGGUAACCGAAGUAUGUAAGCUAAGACUACAUUCGCUAGAACUCGAGAAACACAGACUAAAACAAGAAUCAACCCUCCAACAUUUAGCAUCUUCUCAGCAUGGAAAUGUUUUGGAAAGAGGGUUGCGCUGAUCCCCCAACUUUGGCACGGGAAAUCAACACCUGGCACUUCAAAACCAAGUCCACUUUUGAACCGGGCAAACCUUUUGAAAAGGCCCUGUUGGCGCAAAUUCGGGGUCAACAUACGAAAGCACCAGAGCGUGCAGGUUGCGAACAGACCGAACAGUAGUGAUGCUGCUCAGACCGGUCAAAAACCAGUCUACAACCCGGUUGGACCAGUUUCCUAGAAUUUUGCCUAGAUCGAUCAUUUGAAGGGAUAACUACCAUACUUACAUGAUGGAAGAUAGCUAGGUUUACGAGCAAACCAGCAAAGGGAUAACCAACGUACUUACAUGGUGAAGAACGACUAGUUUAUGAGCAAACUAGCAAAGGUUGUCAAUGCUCUCGCUCCGGAGGGACCCCGUCAGGGUGUGGACGUCGCUGGCGUGCUCUAGGUCAACCAGCAAGCCUAGGACGCAAUCUUUGGUCGUGGAGAUCAGUAGACGAAUAGCAUGGAAGUUGGAAAAAGAAUUUAGGAGAUAAAAAGUAAAUACAUAGUAGAUUGAUUCGAUUGGGUUGUCUUCAAUCAGUUGUGGCCCUUUAGAUUUAUAUAGGGUGGGGAGGUCUUGCCCCAGUAGGUGUCGAAUGUUAUACAAAUCCCGUAUCAAAAUACAACUCCUAACUCGAAUUAGGCUGGUCAAACUGGUCGGACCGCCCAUUUAAACCAGUCUAACCGGUUAGCACGGGGUUAAAUCUUACCAAAGCCAUAACUCAUUCAUCCGGACUCCAAACUGGACGUUCUACAUAUGCAUUUUGAUUGUCUCGACGAGAUCUACGCAAUGGUGAAGUCCAAUCAGAGAUUUGACAAUGUUAGUAGAACCGGUCUGACUGGUUUGUAGAUCGGCUUGCCCAGAUUCAGACAACAAACUCCUAUGAUGCCAAUUUUAGUCUCGAACGGGUCCAUAGAAAACUUUCUGGGUCAUACUCCUGCAUAUGAAACCAAACGCUUUUCCACGAGUAGUCAAGCAGUGCUACCACUUCAAUGUUUCUCUUGGCAUUUUUCAUGGCCCAUAAAAAACUUUCUGGAUCAUGGUGGGCAAGUUCUGCUCCUGCAUAUGAAACCAAACGUUUUUCCACGAGUAGUCAAGCAGUGCUACCACUUCAAUGUUUCUCUUGGCAUUUUUCAUAGCCCAUAAAAAACUUUCUGGAUCAUGGUGGGCAAGUUCUGCUUCUGCAUAUGAAACCAAACGCUUUUCCACGAGUAGUCAAGCAGUGCUACCACUUCAAUGUUUCUCUUGGCAUUUUUUCAUGCACCCACCACCGCUGACCACGCUAGCAUUUCUCAAGAGUCACAGCGUACAGCUGCACAUCGAACUGCACCUGACGUGUCUCCUCCUACGCAGGCAGGAGGAGGUCGCUGCUGCCCCACCGGCGAUCUGGUGCCGUGAGCUUUUCCACAGCCUCGCUGAAGCGACCUCCGAGAAUUCAACACCACGGAUCCCAGGUCCAAGUCUUGCCAUGGAGUAACUUCGUCUCUACGGAGAAAGUGAAAAGUAUUUUACUACGCCUGCCUGAAAGUAACCGCGCGAGCUCAUCAUUUUCUUUGGGUAGGUUUGCGCGGCGCGGAGGCGGCGAGCGGACAUCCAGUCGGACACGUACGUGCUGAUUGAGCCCGGCAUGGAGGAGGAGUUCGUGUCCCGGGAGGAGCUGGAGGCGAGGCUCAAGGGCUGGCUGGAGAAGUGGCCCAGGGACGCGCUGCCACCCGACCUCGCCAAGUUCAACACGGUCGACGACGCCGUCUCCUACCUCGUCAGGGCCGUGUGCGUGCUCGAGAUCGACGGUGAGGUCGGGUCCGUGCAGUGGUACCAGGUCGAGCUAGAAUAGUCGGGGGUGUCAUGGCUGUGCAGCUCCUUCUUAACGUCCUCCUAAGAGUGUAACAUUCCCGGGGAAAAUUCCCAAACCUGGAUUGGAAGACACAACUACUCUCAACUUGUACCGUGCAAAUUGCAAAGGGUCAAUUGAUGAUGCAGGCCUUUCCCACUCGAGCAAACUGAGCGAGUUUGGUUGUUUCGGAUUAUUAUUCAUGUCAGAUGGAGUAUUUACGAUAGUCCCUCGAUUAAUAUUUUUCUAUGGCUUAGAAUCCCAAUACCACUUUCAUUAUUAUUUGAAUAUUAUCCUAAUCUGUACAGAGGGAGUUGCAACUACUCCGCAACUAUUCCUUUAUUUGAGGAGGGGAGUGAAUUAUUAGGUUGUUUCAAUAAUUUAUUAAUAAUUUAUUGAAAAGCCUGCCGGAUCACCAUUUUCUUAGGGCUCUCCAAUGUGUGGUUCUUAGCUGGUACUAUGUUUUUCUCUCUCUUAUGGAACCAGGACCUAUACACUGUGAAGCUGAUUCUAUAUGGAACCAGAUUCCAUACAUAGAACCAAGUCCCAUGCAAUAUAAUAUAGGGAAAAUGGGAGAGAGAAGAGAGAUGGAGGGCUGCGGGUUCCAUAUUCAUAGAUUCAACCUGGUUCUAUACAUUGGAGCUAAUACAACAUGUGAUAUCAAAUCAGUUAGAUCCCACCUUAGAAACAGGGUGCACCUAUACAUUGCUGGUGCCCUUGCUAACUCUCGUAACAUGUUAGUUGACUCUCGUAACAUGCUAGUCGGAUCGGGGAACGGAGAUCUACCACUCCAACGGGCGCUCCUAUCCCAAUCCUAUACCCACCGGACCUGGUUCCAUACGCUGUGAGGUCGGUUCUAUCGAAACGAAACACAGAACCGGGCUCCCAUGCAUGGGAGCGGGUUCUACAGAAUAAAAAAUUUGAUCUCCUCCCUCAACCCACCUUUCUCUCUCCUGCCGUCGCUGCUCCCGCCCGCCGCCUGGAUGAAGCCGAGGUCGAGCAGAUCCGUCUGGACGAAGCUGAGGCCAUGGCACCGCUCCGAGCUCGCCCGCGCUGCUGUUCCGGCCGCCUCCUCGCGGUGCUACCUUCGACCCCGCCGUCUGCGGUGCUUCCUGGAUGCCUCGUCCACGGCCACACCUGCAACCCCAGCAUGCGUUGCUGCAGCAUGAAGGUUGGGGGCGUCGCUGACUGAGGAUGGACGGAGGAGCGUCGUCACCUGGCCUCGUUCGGCCUCCGCAGCAAUGGCGUCUGGAACGAAGGGGCCGCUUCACUGGAGGCUAUCUUCUCCGAAUCCGGCACCAUAGCCUUCAGAUCCAGCCGCUAGGUGUUUGAUUUGUGCCUUUUUGGGGAGUAGGUUGGGAGGAUUUGAGGCAGAUCAGAACUGGGAAGGGAAGAGGAUGGAGACAACAAGAAGAGGAAGCGGCGUGCUGCCGGUUGCCUCCAUGGGGAAGAAAGGGGUAGUUGAGAAGAAAUUGAUUUUCUUAUUUAUAUGUGGGUCCCACUCAAACCAUGUAACCGGCUCUUUCCUGU
rnacentral:lncRNA from 1 species